rfam:Camelus ferus unplaced genomic scaffold scaffold1616, whole genome shotgun sequence.
GAGGGUAUAGCUCGAGUGGUAGAGCGCAUGCUUAGUGUGCAGGAGGUCCUGGGUUCAGUCCCCAGUACCUCUU